GAUUAAUUAGCGGGAUUCUGUGGAACUAAAACCGGGAGGACCGUGGUUCUUGAGGACUGGAGCUGGACUCCCAUGCUAAGUGUUAAAAACAAGUAAAACAGGCAGACGAAUCCCACGAUGAAGCAGAGACACACGCCGACUCCAAGACAGGAGAGGCCGACGAUGUGGAUGGUGUUGAGCUUCUCCUCCAGGGACUCUGGAAUAAUGUUUACAUCGACACGAUUCAAUGGAAGAAUGGACUUUAUUGACGAGUGGCAGUGUGAUUGGUUGUGUGUGGGGUGGCAGAAGAAUAGUCUCACCCAGUGUGCAAUUAAAAACUAGAACUGCCAUGGUGCUGUUCAGGCUGACCUCCAUCACCACGGCCUGCUCCGGGGACAGGCUGUAGUUGUGGGGCAACGGCGCGGUGCCGUUCAUCAGCUG